rnacentral:rRNA from 1 species
AUUGAACGCUGGCGGAAUGCUUUACACAUGCAUGUCGAACGGCAGCACGGGAGCUUGCUCCUGGUGGCGAGUGGCGAACGGGUGAGUAAUGCAUCGGAACGUACCUAUUAGUGGGGGAUAACUAUCCGAAAGGAUAGCUAAUACCGCAUACGUCCUGAGGGAGAAAGCGGGGGAUCGCAGGACCUAGCGCUAAUAGAGCGGCCGAUGUUGGAUUAGCUAGUUGGUGGGGUAAAGGCCUACCAAGGCGACGAUCCAUAGCUGGUCUGAGAGGAUGAUCAGCCACACUGGGACUGAGACACGGCCCAGACUCCUACGGGAGGCAGCAGUGGGGAAUUUUGGACAAUGGGGGCAACCCUGAUCCAGCCAUUCCGCGUGAGUGAAGAAGGCCUUCGGGUUGUAAAGCUCUUUCGGCAGGAACGAAACGGUGGUUACUAAUACUAGCUACUAAUGACGGUACCUGAAGAAGAAGCACCGGCUAACUACGUGCCAGCAGCCGCCGUAA